rnacentral:sRNA from 1 species
UCUAAACGUCUUGAAAUCUCUCUAAAAAACAGAAACAACACAAAAACAAAAACUGCCGAAUCUGAUUUUCUUGCUCUAGCCCCUACAGCUGUCAUCCAUCCCCUCAGCUUCCCUGCGGUCUGUGCUAGCGACCCCACCACCCCGCUGACUCAACCUGGUGGCCUGACUUUCACCCACGCUGCUGCUCUGGCCUCUGUGAUCUGCCCUCUUGAGUCCUCCCCUCCUCUCCCAGCCCCUCUUCUCUGAGUCCAGCCCGGGGCUCUGUCUGUACCACUCUUCUCACUGCUGUGGUUUCUCUUGGCUCCCUUGUCUAAUUCCGGUUCUGGGAACAGGCUGCUGCUUCCCAGACCUCUUCUGGGGACAGACCCCCAGCUGCGGACCUGGAGACGCAUGGCCUUGGCCAGUGCAGGGGCAGGGCUGUGGGUGCGGGUGACCUGGCUCGGUGCGUGCUUGGCAGCAACUUCAUCUCACCAAGUCUUGCUCUUCUUCUGUGCAAAAUGAAAGUAAUAUUUAUCUUGCUAGGUUGUUGUGAGGAUUUGGGUUAAGCCAUGUAAAAUGCUGGUACAGCGUUGGCAUCUCUAGGUACCCAAUAGAUGGUAGCGUGGAUGAGGAUGUUUACGGCGACAGGAAAUAAAUGGUAGUGUGGAUGAGGAUGUUUACAGUGACAGGAAGUAACAAUAGUCCUUUGGGUGUCUUCUCCCUGAAGCUUGCUCUCCAUUUGGCCCAUUGUGUGAACACCCGCCUUCACCACGUCCUUCUUGUUUGCUUUCAUCGUUCGGUAUUUUUACCUGUUCAGUCUCAUCCUGCAGCACCCUUCACAUCGUCGCCACAGUGAUCUUCCUAAAGGGCAUGCGUGUCCAGGGUCACACCAAGCCGAACAUGCCCGAUCACGUCUGAAGGGCACGUGACCCUGUUCUGAAGUGGCCCGCUGCUCCCGUAGCCCUCAGCAAAGCCAAUGGACGUGUACUCUGCUUCCUCCAGGAAGCCCUCCCCCCUCCUCCCACUGGUGGACACGUCUUGUGGUUGGUGUCCACAAGGAAGUUCCUGAUUAGCCUCGGAACUGCCCGAGGGCCUCUCCACUGCCGGCACAUGGCCUGCUGGCUGGCCUGGGGCAGAACUACAGAGGGCCGGAGCUGGAGAUGUGGUCUCUGGGAGUCACUCUGUACACACUGGUCUUUGAGGAGAACCCCUUCUGUGAGCUGGAGGAGACCGUGGAGGCUGCCAUCCACCCGCCAUACCUGGUGUCCAAAGAACUCAUGAGCCUUGUGUCCGGGCUGCUGCAGCCAGUCCCUGAGAAGCGCACCACCUUGGAGAAGCUGGUGACGGACCCGUGGGUAACACAGCCUGUGAAUCUUGCUGACUACACAUGGGAAGAGGUGUGUCGAGUAAACAAGCCAGAAAGCGGAGUUCUGUCCACUGCGAGCCUGGAGAUGGGGAACAGGAGCCUGAGUGAAGUGGCCCAGGCUCAGGAGCUUUGUGGGGGCCCCGUUCCAGGCGAGGCUCCUAAUGGCCAAGGCUGUUUGCAUCCUGGGGAUCCCCGUCUGCUGACCAGCUAAACACCAGUUUCUUCCUGCUUUUCUCCACUUGGUUUGGAAAAUCACACAGUUUUCAGGCUCCAUCUGUUUGGAGAAAAUACAUUCUCAAGCAUCCCCAAUUCACCUUCUAAAAACUCAUGUGCAGGUUUGAUAAACACCAGAACAGAAGACAGUGAUGCUGUAUUUUAGGUUUAUUACAUAGAUUUGGAAUUCACUUUUUUCAUGACCUAGAAAAAAACAUUCCAGUGUUCAACUGCUUUAUAUUAUUAAAGGGCUUUUAAUUUGUGAA